UCAUCCGCACCCCAAAAGAGCUGUUUUUAAGCUGCAUUUCAUCCUUUUCUGUAGUUGUUCUUAGGUUCUGCCUGCUUCAGUUACUGCUGAGACAGGGUAAUUAGCUGUCAUCUUGUCAAAGAGCAUGCUCAUUUCACUUUGCCAUUCUUCAUUUCACUUCAGGUUUGCUAAUUUUGCUCGUGUUGGCUUCAGCUCUUGCUGCUCCUGCCAAUUCGACAGUGGGACAGCUGUUUAAGAAAGGCACCAAAUAAAACUGAAAGUGCAUAAAGUGGCAUUUACAGAAAGAUGGUUUCUCAAGGAGAGGGGUGUUUGACUGAGGAAAUGAGGACCCAUGCAACACUGAGGAAAAUGCAGUACUGUGUGGAAGUCAGCACUGUGGGAAAUGGCUCUCAACACUUUCUGGAAGCCCCCAAUGGGAAGAACUGGAACCACCAGAAUGUACAUCCCAGUCCCAUCCUUGCAAGGCAACUGAGAAGGAUGUCAUGGUUAAUGGUUGAAAGCUGUUCUUGAAAAAAUAAUAAUCAGAGAAGGAAGCAAGCCUGCCUGGAGCAUGAAGGAGGGUUAAGAAGAAGAAGAAGAAGAAGAAGAAGAAGAAGAAGAAGAAGAAGAAGAAGAAGAAGAAGAAGAAGAAGAAGAGGGAAUCAGUGCUGGGUGGCUUUGAGUCAGAGUCUUCUCAGCCUACCUACAUCACAGGGUUAUUGUGAGGAGAAACAAUUGCUGUCCAGAGCAGAGGAGAGCAGGUGAUAGGGCUAGGAUACUUCUUGGGUGCAGACCAAGACUUGACUACAAGUAGCAGCUGUGAUUGAAAGGAUGCUAUGACUCAAGUGUAACCACAGCCCAUGUCGUAGUAUUUAAGAGAAUGUCUUCUUCGCCAUGAACCCCGUCGCCUAUUGAGAUCAUCCGGAGAGUUUUUGGAAGAACUUGGGUCUGAUCCAGAUUAAUCUGAAGUGAGCUUGAUAGAGCUCACCUAUCUCCAGAAAGCACCAAACAUACUGAAACACAAAGACCCUCCCAUUUCUUGCCACAGAAUCCCUCCCACCCUCUUGUGGAAGUACGAUGGAACAAACCAGCCUUCUUUCCCAUCUGUUUCUGGCGGGGAAGGGGGCCAGUUAGAAAUGCUGAUGUUUACUAUAUUGCUAGCUCAUUGUACUGUAAAAUGAUAUUUGCUACUCCUUUCCUCUUUCCUGUAAAAUAUAUUUUGGCAGUGAUGUCCCUUCCCUAGUUUUCUCUGGUUUUGUUAAUUUUGUUUUGUAUCCUAUAGAUUGUUCCAAAAUUGAAAAUUAAAUUUUCUUUU